AACAGUAUUGUUUACAUUGACUUACACACAAGUGUAUUCAAGAAAUGGGAGAUAACUCUAGCCCAAGCAGAUUCUGGAUGGUUGUUGCAUUUUUCUUUAUUUCUGCGUCAUUAGCAUUAGUUGGAUUCAUCAUCUAUGUUAAAGUUUUUGAGAAGCCAAUCAGCAGAAGUAUUAGAGAAGCGGAAGUACUCAACCGGUACCCGCUGAUGUUCCGCACACCAGAGGAGCAGGCGAUUUUUGAA
rnacentral:sRNA from 1 species